rnacentral:rRNA from 1 species
AACGGCUGGCGGCGUGCCUAAUACAUGCAAGUCGAACGGUCUUUCUAUGGAAGCUUGCUUCCACUGAGAAGAUAGUGGCGAACGGGUGAGUAACACGUGGGUAACCUGCCCAUAAGAGGGGGAUAACAUCCGGAAACGGGUGCUAAUACCGCAUAGUUUUCUUGAUCGCAUGAUCGGGAAAGGAAAGGCGGCCUUUGUGCUGUCGCUUAUGGAUGGACCCGCGGCGUAUUAGUUAGUUGGUGAGGUAACGGCUCACCAAGACGAUGAUACGUAGCCGACCUGAGAGGGUGAUCGGCCACAUUGGGACUGAGACACGGCCCAAACUCCUACGGGAGGCAGCAGUAGGGAAUCUUCCGCAAUGGACGAAAGUCUGACGGAGCAACGCCGCGUGAGUGAAAGAAGGUUUUCGGAUCGUAAAACUCUGUUGUCAGAGAAGAACAAGUUGGAGAGUAACUGCUCCAGCCUUGACGGUAUCUGACCAGAAAGCCACGGCUAACUACGUGCCAGCCGCCGC